rnacentral:rRNA from 1 species
GAUAAACGCUAGCUACAGGCUUAACACAUGCAAGUCGAGGGGAAACGACAUCGAAAGCUUGCUUUUGAUGGGCGUCGACCGGCGCACGGGUGAGUAACGCGUAUCCAACCUGCCCACCACUUGGGGAUAACCUUGCGAAAGUAAGACUAAUACCCAAUGACGUCUCUAGAAGACAUCUGAAAGAGAUUAAAGAUUUAUCGGUGAUGGAUGGGGAUGCGUCUGAUUAGCUUGUUGGCGGGGUAACGGCCCACCAAGGCGACGAUCAGUAGGGGUUCUGAGAGGAAGGUCCCCCACAUUGGAACUGAGACACGGUCCAAACUCCUACGGGAGGCAGCAGUGAGGAAUAUUGGUCAAUGGACGAGAGUCUGAACCAGCCAAGUAGCGUGCAGGAUGACGGCCCUAUGGGUUGUAAACUGCUUUUAUAAGGGAAUAAAGUGAGUCUCGUGAGACUUUUUGCAUGUACCUUAUGAAUAAGGACCGGCUAAUUCCGUG